GCGGACAGGAUGGUGUCAGAGUCGUAGAACAAAUUAUCUGGAAAAGAGGGAGAAUCCAAACCAAUUUUAUUUACGAAUCCCUUGGAGGUGAAUACAGUUUGUGCAACAUUGAAGGUGUCCAAGGUGUCUUUGAUGCUGUAGCAGUGUCUUCAGGUGCUCAGGGUCAGAGACAGACUGAACGCACUCCUCCAGGUCAGAGAAUGCAAGGCUGAGACAAGAUGCUGUCUGAGGGAUGAAGAUGCAGUCAUAUCAGUACCUGUGUAAAGCUGGGCACCGGCAGCAGCUCCUCCAAUCUGGAGAAGAACUCCCACACCAGAAUCUGCAGUGCUGUGUCAUACUUAGUACCGUACUGCACUGGGAACACCUCCUUUAAUGAAAAUGUAGAGAGCUAUUACAGUUAGGUGAAUGGUCUUGCCUACAACAUGUUACCGUCAAAAUGCAUAAGUUUAAUAAAAUAUUUAUUUUGUCCA